ACGGAGGAUGCGAGCGUUAUCCGGAUUCAUUGGGUUUAAAGGGUGCGUAGGCGGACUAUUAAGUCAGUGGUGAAAUCCUGCAGCUUAACUGCAGAACUGCCAUUGAUACUGAUAGCCUUGAGUUUGGGAAAGGAAGAGGGAAUGUUGAAUGUAGCGGUGAAAUGCGUAGAUAUUACGCAGAACACCAAUUGCGUAGGCAGCUUACUGAGCCGACACUGACGCUGAGGCACGAAAGCGUGGGGAUCAAACAG
rnacentral:rRNA from 1 species